rnacentral:rRNA from 1 species
UUUGUAAGAAUGUCGUAACAAGUUUUCGUUAGGUGAACUUGCGGAAGAAUCAUUA